rnacentral:rRNA from 1 species
UACGUAGGGGGCUAGCGUUGUCCGGAAUCAUUGGGCGUAAAGAGCGCGUAGGCGGCUAGAUAAGUCCGGUGUGAAAGUCACAGGCUCAACCUGUGAAUGCCGCUGGAAACUGUCUGGCUAGAGUCCGGAAGGGGCGAGUGGAAUUCCUGGUGUAGCGGUGAAAUGCGCAGAUAUCAGGAGGAACACCUGCGGCGAAGGCGGGUUGCUGGGCUGACACUGACGCUGAGGCGCGAAAGCUAGGGGAGCGAACGGG